rnacentral:rRNA from 1 species
AACGAACGCUGGCGGCGUGGAUAAGACAUGCAAGUCGAGCGCUGAUUACAGGGUAGCAAUAUUCUGUAGUUGGAGCGGCGCAAGGGUGCGUAACACGUGGGUAAUCUGCCAUGAAGUUUGGAAUAACUCGCUGAAAGGCGAGCUAAUGCCGGAUGUGAAAGCUGGGAGGCAUCUCUUGGUUUUCAAAGCUGGGGACCGUAAGGCCUGGCGCUUCAUGAUGAGCCCGCGGCCUAUCAGCUAGUUGGUAAGGUAACGGCUUACCAAGGCUAAGACGGGUAGCUGGUCUGAGAGGACGACCAGCCACACUGGAACUGAGACACGGUCCAGACACCUACGGGUGGCAGCAGUCGAGAAUUUUUCACAAUGGGCGCAAGCCUGAUGGAGCGACGCCGCGUGGGGGAUGAAUGGCUUCGGCCCGUAAACCCCUGUCAUUUGCGAUCAACCGUUGUUGUUUAAGAGAUGACAACCUGAUAGUAGCGAAAGAGGAAGGGACGG